rnacentral:rRNA from 1 species
GACGAACGCUGGCGGCGUGCUUAACACAUGCAAGUCGAACGGAAAGGCCUCUUUCGGGGGGUACUCGAGUGGCGAACGGGUGAGUAACACGUGAGUAACCUGCCCUUGACUUUGGGAUAACUUCAGGAAACUGGGGCUAAUACCGGAUAGGAGCUCCUGCUGCAUGGUGGGGGUUGGAAAGUUUCGGCGGUUGGGGAUGGACUCGCGGCUUAUCAGCUUGUUGGUGGGGUAGUGGCUUACCAAGGCUUUGACGGGUAGCCGGCCUGAGAGGGUGACCGGCCACAUUGGGACUGAGAUACGGCCCAGACUGCUACGGGAGGCAGCAGUGGGGAAUAUUGCACAAUGGGCGGAAGCCUGAUGCAGCAACUCCGCGUGCGGGAUGACGGCCUUCGGGUUGUAAACCGCUUUCGCCUGUGACGAAGCGUGAGUGACGGUAAUGGGUAAAGAAGCACCGGCUAACUACGUG